CAUGCAAGUCGAGGGCAGCACAGGAGCAAUCUGAGGUGGCGACCGGCGCACGGGUGAGUAACACGUAUGCAACCUGCCUGUAAGCGGGGAAUAACCCGUUGAAAGACGGACUAAUACCGCAUAAUACUAAAUUACUGCAUGGUAAUUUAUUUAAACAUUUAUGGCUUACAGAUGGGCAUGCGCAUGAUUAGCUAGUUGGAGAGGUAACGGCUCCCCAAGGCAACGAUCAUUAGGGGUUCUGAGAGGAAGGUCCCCCACACUGGUACUGAGACACGGACCAGACUCCUACGGGAGGCAGCAGUGAGGAAUAUUGGUCAAUGGACGAGAGUCUGAACCAGCCAAGUCGCGUGCAGGAAGAAUGUUCCCUAUGGAUUGUAAACUGCUUUUGCAGGGGAAUAAAGUGCAUCACGUGUGAUGUUUUGUAUGUACUCUGCGAAUAAGGAUCGGCUAACUCCGUGCCAGCCGCUGC
rnacentral:rRNA from 1 species